CUUCUUUCAUACCAGCCAUCAUAUCGGUUCAUCAUACACUUUGCUGACCAUCAUGGACAUGCUUCUGACUGAGUUGCGCAAAUAUCAGACCUCAUGGGAUGUCCCCUAAACUUUAGGGCCUAAAGGAUGAUUAGGCGUCUCAUCUUCACGAGCUGAACUCUUGAAGACUACAUUGCUGCAUCCCUGGCAGAUGUCAUGGGGCGCGCAUGUUUCCACUGAAAGGGUGUGCUGCUUACCAUGCAUGAGCGGUUUUUGAAUACAAGGGUGUUGGUGUGAAGUAUUCUCUCAGUAUUGCGGAGUGUGCUGUCCAGCAUUCAAGGGUGAUGGUGUAAAGGCGGAGUGUUGCAGCAUGUACUGUACUGUACAGCAAGCCUCAAGUUUUCAGAUAUAUGGGACUGUCCAGAGGGAUUUUGAGGUGCGACGGAAACCACUACCAUCUGAAAUAAAAUUUAUCUGGAC